rnacentral:rRNA from 1 species
GCGCGAAAACUCCGCAAUAUGUGAAAACAUGACGGGGUCAUCCCGAGUGCCAUCUGCUGAAGGUGGCUUUUGCUAAGUGUAAUGAUCUGAGUGAAUAAGGGGAGGGCAAGUCUGGUGUCAGCCGCCGCGGUAAUACCAGCUCCUCGAGUGGUUGGGACGAUUAUUGGGUCUAAAGCGUCCGUAGCCGGCCGGAAAAGUUCUCCGUUAAACCCAGCGAUCCAAUCGCUGGACUGCGGAGAAUACUACUCGGCUUGGGGGCGGGGGAAGUCGGCGGUAGUCCAGGGGUAGGGGCGAAAUCCUAUCAUCCUUGGAGGACCACCAGUGGCGAAGGCGGCCGACCAAAACGCGCCCGACGGUGAGGGACGAAAGCUGGGGGAGCGAACGGGAUUAGAUACCCCGGUAGUCCCAGCUGUAAACGAUGUGGGCUAGGUGUUGGGACGGGUACGGCCCGUCUCAGUGCCGCAGGGAAGCCGUUAAGCCCACCACCUGGGAAGUACGGUCGCAAGGCUGAAACUUAAAGGAAUUGGCGGGGGAGCACCACAAGGGGGUGAAGC